UACGUAGGGGGCAAGCGUUGUCCGGAAUCAUUGGGCGUAAAGCGCGCGUAGGCGGCCCGGUAAGUCCGCUCUGAAAGUCCAGGGCUCAACCCUGGAAAGCGGGUGGAUACUGCCGGGCUAGAAUCCGGAAGAGGCGAGUGGAAUUCCUGGUGUAGCAGUGAAAUGCGUAGAGAUGUGGAGGAACACCGAUGGCGAAGGCAGCCCCCUGGGUUAACACUGACGCUCAGGCACGAAAGCGUGGGGAGCAAACAGG
rnacentral:rRNA from 1 species